UACGUAGGGUGCAAGCGUUGUCCGGAAUUAUUGGGCGUAAAGAGCUCGUAGGCGGCUUGUCGCGUCGAAUGUGAAAACUCGGGGCUCAACUCCGAGCUUGCAUUCGAUACGGGCAGGCUAGAGUUCGGUAGGGGAGAGUGGAAUUCCUGGUGUAGCGGUGAAAUGCGCAGAUAUCAGGAAGAACACCCGUGGCGAAGGCGGCUCUCUGGAACGCAACUGACGCUGAGACGCGAAAGCGUGGGGAGCAAACAGG
rnacentral:rRNA from 1 species